CAGCCGCCACGGUAAUACGGAGGGUGCAAGCGUUAUCCGGAUUUAUUGGGUUUAAAGGGUCCGUAGGCGGAUCUGUAAGUCAGUGGUGAAAUCUCACAGCUUAACUGUGAAACUGCCAUUGAUACUGCAGGUCUUGAGUAAAUUUGAAGUGGCUGGAAUAAGUAGUGUAGCGGUGAAAUGCAUAGAUAUUACUUAGAACACCAAUUGCGAAGGCAGGUCACUAAGAUUUAACUGACGCUGAUGGACGAAAGCGUGGGGAGCGAACAGGAUUAGAUACCCCGGUAGUCCCUGUCUCUUAUAC
rnacentral:rRNA from 1 species